rnacentral:rRNA from 1 species
GAUGAACGCUAGCGGCAGGCUUAACACAUGCAAGUCGAGGGGCAGCGCGAUCUUCGGAUUGGCGGCGACCGGCGCACGGGUGCGUAACGCGUAUGCAACCUACCCAUAACAGGGGGAUAAUCCGGAGAAAUCUGGUCUAAUACCCCAUAAUACAUGAAGAGGCAUCUUUUUAUGUUGAAAUUUUCGGAGGUUAUGGAUGGGCAUGCGUGACAUUAGCUAGAUGGUGAGGUAACGGCUCACCAUGGCAACGAUGUCUAGGGGGACUGAGAGGUUAACCCCCCACACUGGUACUGAGACACGGACCAGACUCCUACGGGAGGCAGCAGUGAGGAAUAUUGGUCAAUGGACGGAAGUCUGAACCAGCCAUGCCGCGUGCAGGAUGACGGCUCUAUGAGUUGUAAACUGCUUUUAUACGAGGGUAAAGUCAGUUACGUGUAACUGUUUGAAAGUAUCGUAUGAAUAAGGAUCGGCUAACUCCGUGCCAGCCGCCGCGGUAA